GACGAACGCUGGCGGCGUGCCUAAUACAUGCAAGUAGAACGCACAGUUUAUACCGUAGCUUGCUACACCAUAGACGGAGAGGUGCGAACGGGGUAGUAACGCGUAGGUAACCUGCCUGGUAGCUUGGGGUAACUAUGGGAAACGAUAGCUAAUACCGCAUAAUAUUAAUUAUUGCAUGAUAAUUAAUUGAAAUGUGCAAUUGCACCACUACCAGAUGGACCUGCGUUGUAUUAGCUAGUAGGUGAGGUAACGGCUCACCUAGGCGAUGAUACAUAGCCGACCUGAUAGGGUGAUCGGCCAGACUGGGAGUGUGACACGGCACAGACGCAUACGGAAGGGAGCCGUACGGAAUCUUGGGGCAUGGGCGGAAGUCAGAGCGAGCAACGCGGCGGGAGUGAAGAAGGUUUCCGGGUCGUAGAGGUCUGCUGUAAGAGAAGAAAGGGUGUGAGCGUGGAACGUUCACUGUGUGACGGUAACUUAUAAGAAAGCGACGGCUAACUACGUG
rnacentral:rRNA from 1 species